rnacentral:rRNA from 1 species
CANUCGCGKCUACCAUGCAAGUCGAACGGAAAGGCCUCUUUCGGGGGGUACUCGAGUGGCGAACGGGUGUAGUUAACACGUGAGUAACCUGCCCUUGACUUUGGGAUAACUUCAGGAAACUGGGGCUAAUACCGGAUAGGAGCUCCUGCUGCAUGGUGGGGGUUGGAAAGUUUCGGCGGUUGGGGAUGGACUCGCGGCUUAUCAGCUUGUUGGUGGGGUAGUGGCUUACCAAGGCUUUGACGGGUAGCCGGCCUGAGAGGGUGACCGGCCACAUUGGGACUGAGAUACGGCCCAGACUCCUACGGGAGGCAGCAGUGGGGAAUAUUGCACAAUGGGUGGAAGCCUGAUGCAGCAACGCCGUGUGCGGGAUGACGGCCUUCGGGUUGUAAACCGCUUUCGCCCAUGACGAAGCUUUGUGUGACGGUAGUGGGUAAAGAAGCACCGGCUAACUACGUGCCAGCAGCCGCGGUGAUACGUAGGGUGCGAGCGUUGUCCGGAUUUAUUGGGCGUAAAGGGCUCGUAGGUGGUUGAUCGCGUCGGAAGUGUAAUCUUGGGGCUUAACCCUGAGCGUGCUUUUGAUACGGGUUGACUUGAGGAAGGUAGGGGAGAAUGGAAUUCCUGGUGGAGCGGUGGAAUGCGCAGAUAUCANGANGAACACCGGUGGCGAANGCGGUUCUCUGGGCCUUUCCUGACGCU